rnacentral:rRNA from 1 species
CCUACGGGAGGCAGCAGUGAGGAAUAUUGGUCAAUGGGCGGAAGCCUGAACCAGCCAAGUAGCGUGAGGGAUGAAGGCCCUACGGGUCGUAAACCGCUUUUGCACGGGGAUAACACCCGCCACGUGUGGAGGUCUGCAGGUACCGUGCGAAUAAGGGCCGGCUAAUUCCGUGCCAGCAGCCGCGGGAAUACGGAAGGCCCGAGCGUUAUCCGGAUUCAUUGGGAUUAAAGGGUGCGUAGGCGGGCGUUCAAGUCAGCGGGAAAAUCGCGGGGCUCAACCGCGCCCCGUAGUUGAAACUGGGCGCCUUGAGUUCACAACAGGCAGGCGGAAUUCGUGGUGUAGCGGUGAAAUGCAUAGAUAUCACGAGGAACCCCGAUUGCGAAGGCAGCCUGCCGGGGUGCGACUGACGCUGAGGCUCGAAGGUGCGGGUAUCAAACAGGAUUAGAUACCCCAGUAGUC